AGGGACUACAGUUGCUGUGCUCCUUUAAAGGAAUGACAGGAGAGGUUAAGGGCUGCUGGUGAGGCUGCUGCUCUGUCACUCCCCUGGCUCCAGGUGUGGCUGUGGGGGCAGAGCAGGGGUUUUCAUACUGUGACUCAGGAGCAAUGCAAGCAAUGUGACAACUUCAGGAGAACACCUGUUAGUAUCAGCUGCCAACACCUUCAACUAAUUUUUCAAGGUUUGAAAAAACAGAAUAGCAAAGAAAGAAAAAAGUUAUAA
rnacentral:lncRNA from 1 species